rnacentral:rRNA from 1 species
AUUGAACGCUGGCGGCAGGCCUAACACAUGCAAGUCGAACGAGUGGCGGACGGGUGAGGAAUGUCUGGGAAAGCGCCCGAUGGAGGGGGAAAACUACUGGAAACGGUAGCUAACAACGCAUACCAUCGGAUGUGCCCAGAUGGGAUUAGCUAGUAGGUGGGGUAACGGCACACCUAGGCGACGAUCCCUAGCUGGUCUGAGAGGAUGACCAGCCACACUGGAACUGAGACACGGUCCAGACUCCUACGAGAGGCAGCAGUGGGGAAUAUUGCACAAUGGGCGCAAGCCUGAUGCAGCCAUGCCGCGUGUAUGAAGAAGGCCUUCGGGUUGUAAAGUACUUUCAGCGAGGAGGCGUUACUCGCAGAAGAAGCACCGGCUAACUCCGUGCCAGCAGCCGCGGUAAUAC